GGGCCUCAUCCUUAGCCUGCAGUCAGCUGCGGGGAUGUUCGCGGCGUCAGCGGCGGAGGGUGAGUAAUGCCUGGGAAAUUGCCCUGAUGUGGGGGAUAACCAUUGGAAACGAUGGCUAAUACCGCAUAAUAGCUUCGGCUCAAAGAGGGGGACCUUCGGGCCUCUCGCGUCAGGAUAUGCCCAGGUGGGAUUAGCUAGUUGGUGAGGUAAGGGCUCACCAAGGCGACGAUCCCUAGCUGGUCUGAGAGGAUGAUCAGCCACACUGGAACUGAGACACGGUCCAGACUCCUACGGGAGGCAGCAGUGGGGAAUAUUGCACAAUGGGCGCAAGCCUGAUGCAGCCAUGCCGCGUGUAUGAAGAAGGCCUUCGGGUUGUAAAGUACUUUCAGCAGUGAGGAAGGUGGUGUCGUUAAUAGCGGCAUCAUUUGACGUUAGCUGCAGAAGAAGCACCGGCUAACUCCGUGCCAGCAGCCGCGGUAAUACGGAGGGUGCGAGCGUUAAUCGGAAUUACUGGGCGUAAAGCGCAUGCAGGUGGUUUGUUAAGUCAGAUGUGAAAGCCCGGGGCUCAACCUCGGAAUUGCAUUUGAAACUGGCAGACUAGAGUACUGUAGAGGGGGGUAGAAUUUCAGGUGUAGCGGUGAAAUGCGUAGAGAUCUGAAGGAAUACCGGUGGCGAAGGCGGCCCCCUGGACAGAUACUGACACUCAGAUGCGAAAGCGUGGGGAGCAAACAGGAUUAGAUACCCUGGUAGUCCACGCCGUAAACGAUGUCUACUUGGAGGUUGUGGCCUUGAGCCGUGGCUUUCGGAGCUAACGCGUUAAGUAGACCGCCUGGGGAGUACGGUCGCAAGAUUAAAACUCAAAUGAAUUGACGGGGGCCCGCACAAGCGGUGGAGCAUGUGGUUUAAUUCGAUGCAACGCGAAGAACCUUACCUACUCUUGACAUCCAGAGAACUUUCCAGAGAUGGAUUGGUUGCCUUCGGGAACUCUGAGACAGUGCUGCAUGGCUGUCGUCAGCUCGUGUUGUGAAAUGUUGGGUAAGUCCCGCAACGAGCGCACCCUAUCCUUGUUUGCCAGCGAGUAAUGUCGGGAACUCCAGGAGACUGCGGUGAUAACGGGAGGAAGGUGGGGGACGACGUCAGUCAUCAUGGU
rnacentral:rRNA from 1 species